CAAUUUUACCUAUUCUGCUGUAUUGUUGUUCUUGAGUUAGGUCUCACAGAUUCAUUCAAUAAGAAUUUACUGAUGAAAUGGAAAGGAGGCAUUUCUAGUUAAUUUCUGAAUUUCUUGUUCCUGAUGCUUUAAUUCUAUAUCUUGUUUCUCUUUUAAUCUUUAUAUGGUAAUUUUUUUGAUUUGUUUGGUUUUCUUCUCAGGGGUAUGUUUUAAAAUCAGAAAAUAUGAAGAAGUUUUUUGACUAUAUACAACUUCCAAAUUUCAAUGUUGCUGCCAAUGCUAUAGAAACCUUUAAGGUAGUGUUUUCUGCUAGUAAACAUUUACUACCUACUUAAUAAAUAAGCGUGCCUACAAUAUUAACUACACAACAAAAGAGCCAUUCUUUAGAUUUACAUGUGUAAUACUUAGUAGGCACAAAAUAUAGAAUAUUAUCAAACUAUGAAAGUCUUCAAAAGCCAUGUAUCUGUCUGUUUGUUUAUAUGUGCAUCAAAAUUUUGCCUUUUUUCUUUUUCCAUUUUUUUGGUGGUGGUAUUGCCAUAUUGUUGUUAUUGUCGUGAGUGUUGGUGUCUGUUUAUGCACAUAUCAUAUUGUUCUUUGGUUACAACAUGCCUACAAACUCUUUAAUGGUGUGUAUGUCUGAUUUUUUUGAAGAAAGUGAUAUGUGGUUAGGACUAAAAAACACUUUUAAGUGAAUGGAAAUGAAAAUGCAUAUUAAUUCUUGGUUUUUUACAUAGACUAGGAUUAUUUCAGACUUUUGUUAAAUAUAGUAAACAACAAAUUGUCUUUUAAGUCCUUUUAAUUUCUUUUCUGGUUUUGUAGCUCCAAUUCCCUGGAUGCUUGCCUCUAUCUUUUCUUGUGCUAAUGUCUUGUCUAUAGUUUUUUUUGCUAAAUUCUGCAAUUCAGUUUUGUCUCUUUCUCUUUUAUUUAUUUUUUUCUUUCGUAAUCAGCAUUUGUGAGCUUAUAUAUAUCUACACAGAUGAUGCAUGCAGGGGCCAUGGUUUCAGCAAAUCAAGUUUGAGGUCCAGCAUUUAGGUGCAAUAUUACUUUGAAGGGAUUAAGUAUGAAUUAACUUUGUUACUAGUUUUGUGCACUUGGAGCUCUUUUAAAUAUGGCCUAUUGAUGUGUAGAAGCCAUUUCUUGAAGAAGUGACUGUUGUUUGGCAUGCCAUGUAUCUUAUUAUAAUGAGCUCUUGCUUCCAUACUGCAUCAAUACUAACCCAAAUUUAGUGGCACUAGGAGAUGGGCGCUCAAGGAUACUUUAUUUUGGAUGGUUCCAGCUAUCAAAAUUGAAACAAUUUCUUUUAUGGUGUACUUAUUCCCUGUUAUUUCGUAUAUGUUAAAGUGGAGUCAUUUUCUGAAACUACUAUUGCACCAUGUAAAUCUAUUUUGCUUGUUGUCAUCAAAUUUAUGGAUUUCAGCCAUUGAGAUUUUCACUUAUCAACUGAGUUAAUGUUGGGGACAGUUGGUAGUCACUGUUUUUCUAGGCCUUCCAUGAUUUUAGUUGAUGUUUCACUAUCUUGAACAUGAAAGAAAUAUUGUCACAAGAGCACUAAUAAGUUCUUUUAUUUCAUGGUUGGACUUUAGGAUCGGUUUGACCCGAUAGCAGAUUCAAACACAAUCCGUAAUGAUCUUAUUCUCACAUGGUUUAUGGGAGAAACGUGGGGGAUCAAGAGUUUGAAGGGAUGUAUUGUGCAAUAUUAUCAGUCAAGUAUACUAUUUCUAAAGGCUUGAGUUUCAGGUAUAUGAAAGUUUGAGUGGGCUCUAAUAGAGGGAACAUGGUAAGAGUAGAAGAAGGUUCAAAUAAUUUCAGCACCUAGAUUAUUUGCGUACAGUAUGAGGGGCCAUGCGAUUCAGAAGACAAUCACAUCACCCAUCAAACAAAAGAAUAUAUCACAUGGAAGAUAGCAGAAUCAUUGGCUUCAUGUCCAAAAAAAGAUUGAUCGUAUUGCUCGUAUUGCAUUUGAGACUAUUCGGAAGCGGGGUACGAAACUCUGUUCUGUUGAUAAAGCAAAUGAUUAUAGGUAUUCAAAAUGUAUUAUGUAGAAAUGAAUCCAAUUUAACCGUCUUAAAGAAGUUUCUCAUCAUUAAAAAGAAUAUAUAUAUAUAUAUAUAUAUAAAGAAAUAUCAAUGUAGAGAGGGGCAAUAGUGUACAAGAAACUAUGACAGGGAACCUGCAGGUAGAUGCUGCUAGUAUCAAACUGUGCAUAGAAUGCCCUUGAUUUGAGUCUAAAUUUCUGCCCUUUGUUCUUCUUGAUGAGAUAUUUGAGGAAAAUGAUAGGAAAAAUAGAUUUUGAAUGCUACAUUCUUUUCACACAAAAAAAGAAAAAAAGAAAAAAUAAAUAAAAAGAUGAAGAUUAUUUGGCUGAAUGGUUGUAAUAGGUUCAGUUGAGUAGAGGUUAUACUUGUAUUGUUGUCCUUGU